ensembl:lncRNA
GCCAUAAACAUGUGUAUCCGAGUCUUCUAUCAAAAGUUACAGCUAUUUAUAUGAAGUUGUACAAAAACGCUUUCUUUCGCCAAGACAGUGCGUUUCUCACUGUUACAUGCAUUUGAAUGGGGAACUCCACCGAAACAAAGUAUAGGUUUUCAUUAUGUGAAUAACUUGGAAAUCUUAGCUCAAACAGCUGCAAAACCUCUUUUCCCAGCACGGGAACCUUGAGUUCUAUAAGAUAAAGCCAUAAACAUGUGUAUCCGAGUCUUCUAUCAAAAGUUACAGCUAUUUCUAUGAAGUUGUACAAAAACGCUUUCUUUCGCCAAGACAGUGCGUUUCUCACUGUUACAUGCAUUUGAAUGGGGAACUCGACUGAAACAAAGUAUAGGUUUUCAUUAUGUGAAUAACUUGGAAAUCUUAGCUCAAACAGCUGCAAAACCUGUUUUCCCAGCACGGGAACCUUGAGUUCUAUAAGAUAAAGCCAUAAACAUGUGUAUCCGAGUCUUCUAUCAAAAGUUACAGCUAUUUCUAUGAAGUUGUACAAAAACGCUUUCUUUCGCCAAGACAGUGCGUUUCUCACUGUUACAUGCAUUUGAAUGGGGAACUCGACCGAAACAAAGUAUAGGUUUUCAUUAUGUGAAUAACUUGGAAAUCUUAGCUCAAACAGCUGCAAAACCUGUUUUCCCAGCACGGAGACCUUGAGUUCUAUAAGAUAAGGCCAUAAACAUGUUUGUCUGAGUCUUCUAUCAAAAGUUACAGCUAUUUCUAUGAAGUUGUACAAAAAC